rnacentral:rRNA from 1 species
AAGGGUUAAAAAAAAUUAUUUGGUUAAAAAUAGUUAAAUUUUCAAUUAUAAACAACUCUUGUAUAUUAUAAACUAAAGGUGAAAUUAAACUUUUAAAAAUUCAAGAGUCAUUAUUAAAUUAUUGAAACUAAAAAAUCUUAAGUAUAAACCAGGAUUAGAUACCCUGUUAUUUUAAGAUAAAAUAUUAUUCAACCUGGGUAUUAAACAGUUAUGAGCUUGAAACUCAAAGAAUUUGGCGGUGUCUUAGUCUAGUUAGAGGAGCCUGUUAUGUAAACGAUACACCCCGCAUAAUCUUACUUUUUUAUGUAAAAUCAGUUUGUAUACCGUCAUUAUUUAGAUGAUUUUUAACUAAAAAUUUUAAUCAUUAAAAAAACUAUAAGUUAAUAUAUUAGAUCAAGGUGCAGCUAAUAAAAAAGAAUUAAUGGGCUACAAUAAUAUCAAAAUUAAACGAAUAUAAAAUUGAAAUAUUUUAUUGAAGGCGGAUUUAAUAGUAUUAUUAAAUUUACUAUGGUAAUAAGAUAAUAGCUCUAAGAUAUGUACACAUUGCCCGUCGCUCUCAUUCUUAAUGUGAGAUAAGUCGUAACACAGUAGUUGUACUGGAAAGUGUAUCUAGAUUUA